rnacentral:snoRNA from 1 species
AAGCGAAGGUUCCCAGCGGAGAGGGUAAAAACUCUAGAACGAGUCCUCUCUAACACUAUAAACACAAUGCCUUCGCAGAUUGAACAUUUGCCGAAUCGUAGGAAGCUCCAGAUUCCCCCAUUUUAGUGCUUCUUGAACCCUCGGCUAAAUUUCU